CCCUUAGAUGUUCUGGGCAGCGCGCGCGCUACAAUGGUCUUCGCAAACGGGUGCAUUCUCGAAGGAGAAUGCCAAUCUUGGAAUCUAUGCCUUGGUCGGGACAGUUGCUUGCAAUUUUUCGACUCGAACCAGGAAUUCCUUGUAAUCGUGAUUCAUCACAUCACGAUGAAUACGUCCCUGCCCUUUGUACACACCGCCCGUCGCUCCUACCGAUCGAAGAGUUAGGUGAAUUGUUUUGAUCGAUAAGAUUUGACUAUGGUCAACUCUCGUUGUGAAAUUCUGUGAAUCUGACUGUUUAGAGGAAGGAAAAGUCGUAACA
rnacentral:rRNA from 1 species